CCCCCCCAGUUCAUCAGGUGUCCUCUACCUGGAGUACCUUGAUUUGAAAGUUCAUCAGGUGUCCUCUACCUGGAGUACCUUGAUUUGAAAGUUCGUCAGGUGUCGUGGGCAAAUUUGUGAGUAUGAAUCUUAUUUACAAUCUCUGUUCGGUUGUUCUUUUUCCAAAUGUGAACUCCGUUGUUGACAUUGUUUCCAUGGUUUCAGUGCGCACACACACACCCUGCCGAUCCGUGUUUAAACGAUCUUGUGUUUAUCAUCUUCUCACAAGGUCGAGGAAAUAUGGUGCGGAAACGUCAUCAGAAAGCUUGGGUGGUAGAUGGUGCAACUGACACAACCAUCCCAACCACCAUGCAUGCUGGAGACCUUGAAAAGACAAAUCAAAUCUCAAGUGCAGCCACAGCUGUUGAUGAAAACAAUGAGUUUUCACCAAAGAAAAAAACCUUGUUGGAGAGGUUUAGUGAUAGGGUGAAGGGGUUGCUGUGUGUAAAUUUUACAACAGAUGACAGUGUGGAUGCAAGUCCAAAGAAGAAUGGGAAGAAGAAGAAGACCCAUUUUUGGCAGAAGCGACGACAGCGCAAAAUGAAAAUGAUCCAGCAGAGCGAGCAGCUUGAGGAGCUUCAGCCUCAAAAUGAGACGCUCAUGCAGGACCAUAAGACAACUAGUGGAGCGGUGUUCUUAACAGAGCAGGACGUUGAGCCAAAUGGAAACCAUCACCAGGAGCAGCACAAUGUGGUCCAGCAGGGACAGCUCCUGAGGAGGAAUCAAAACGAGGAAGAGGCUCGUGACAAGGAUGAUUGCCUGCAG
rnacentral:lncRNA from 1 species